AUUGAACGCUGGCGGCAUGCCUCACACAUGCAAGUCGGGCGAGCGGAGGACGUGAGAGUAAUGUAUGGGGAACUGCCUGCUGGUGGGGGAUAACUUAUGGAACAGGUAGCUAAUACCGAAUAGCAUCAGAUGCACCCAGAUGGGUUUAGCUUGUUGGGGGGGUAACGGCUCACCUAGGUCACGAUCCCUAGCUGGUCUGAGAGGAUGAUCAGCCGCACUGGGACUGAGACACGGCCCAGACUCCUACGGGAGGCAGCAGUGGGGAAUAUUGCACAAUGGGCGCAAGCCUGAUGCAGCCAUGCCGCGUGUAUGAAGAAGGCCUUCGGGUUGUAAAGUACUUUCAGUCGGGAGGCGUUACCGACAGAAGAAGCACCGGCUAACUACGUGCCAGCAGCCGCGGUAAUUC
rnacentral:rRNA from 1 species